GAUGAACGCUAGCGGGAGGCCUAACACAUGCAAGCCGAGCGGUAUUUGUUCUUCGGAACAGAGAGAGCGGCGCACGGGUGCGGAACACGUGUGCAACCUGCCUUUAUCUGGGGGAUAGCCUUUCGAAAGGAAGAUUAAUACCCCAUAAUAUAUUGAGUGGCAUCACUUGAUAUUGAAAACUCCGGUGGAUAGAGAUGGGCACGCGCAAGAUUAGAUAGUUGGUGAGGUAACGGCUCACCAAGUCAAUGAUCUUUAGGGGGCCUGAGAGGGUGAUCCCCCACACUGGUACUGAGACACGGACCAGACUCCUACGGGAGGCAGCAGUGAGGAAGAUUGGACAAUGGGUUAGCGCCUGAUCCAGCCAUCCCGCGUGAAGGACGACGGCCCUAUGGGUGGUAAACUUCUUUUGUAUAGGGAUAAACCUACUCUCGUGAGAGUAGCUGAAGGUACUAUACGAAUAAGCACCGGCUAACUCCGUG
rnacentral:rRNA from 1 species